GGCAUGCACAAGGGACGAACAAACAAACGUAGACAGCCGUCAUAUCUUGCCAUCAAGAACAAGAUUUAAGAAAAGACCUGUGGCCGUGGUCAUGUAUGAUGUAGCUCAAUCACCCCAGAAACAGAAGAUGUUAUUAAAAGUAUAAGCUGAUUCCAGUUUGGCUCUGGCAGAGUGAGGGCAGAAGAGAGGACAACAUGUUGGAGGGGAAGCCAGAGAGUUAACCAGAGAUUAAAUCCUGUUGGCUCUUACCGGACAAGGACUGGGCUUUUACUCUGAGUGAGAUCAGAAGCCAUUGCUGGGCUGGGACCGGAGGAGAUACACAGCUCACAAAACACAUCAAUACAGAGAAUUCAAACUUCUGAAAAACAUAUUGGAUGAAGAAAUGAAGUCCAAAUUAAAAUGAGGAAGUCCAGUCAGAUGACGAACUUGAACACAAAGAGCAAGCCAUUGAGCACUAGUUGGCCACAGAUGUGGAUUUAAGUUUUCUAGCUGCCAAAAUGUAAAGAGGGAAACACGAUCCUCUGCAGGACUCAACAGUAUCCCUGAGAUCGAAUCUGACAAACUGCUCAGAAGGGGCACCUAUGCUUUUCCCUGAGAUGAAUGUCUCCCAUCGUCAGAUGUCAGAUUCUGGAUCUAUUUUGACAAGAGAGCUCAAAGGAUUUCUUCACAGAUGGAAAUGAGGGAAGUUUGAAUUCUCUGUAUUGAUGUGUUUUGUGAGCUGUGUAUCUCCUCCGGUCCCAGCCCAGCAAUGGCUUCUGAUCUCACUCAGAGUAAAAGCCCAGUCCUUGUCCGGGAGACGGAUGAAGUUGAAAGCCAUCAUUCUCAGCAAACUAACACAGGAACAGAAAACCAAACACCACAUGUUCUCACUCAUAAGUGGGAGUUGAAAAAUGAGAAUACAUGGACACAAGGAGGGGAACAUCAUUCACCGGGGCCUGUCGAGGGGUGGAGGGCAAGGGGAGGGAGAGCAUUAGGUUGAAUACCUAAUGCAUGUGGGGCUUGAAACCUAGAUGAUGGGUUGAUGGGUGCAGCAAACCAUCAUGGCACAUGUAUAACUAUGAAACAAACCUUCACAUUCUACAUAUGUAUCCCAGAACUUAAAGUAAAAUAAAAAACUCUACACUUUAACUUAAUCCCCAUGCUUUUUAACUUUUUGUUGUUUCUUUUCUAUCUUUUUGUAUUAUGUUUUGUAAAGUUAUAGUUAUUAUUUCAAUUGGUUCAUUUUUUAGUCUUUCUACUUAAGAGUUUCCAUGCCAACAGAGAGCCA
rnacentral:lncRNA from 10 species